rnacentral:rRNA from 1 species
CGCCAGGGCAUUACGAGCUUUAGCUUAAAACCCAAAGGACUUGACGGUGUCCCACCCACCUAGAGGAGCCUGUUCUAUAAUCGAUACCCCCCGCUAUACCCUACCACUUUUAGCCUAUCAGCCUGUAUACCUCCGUCGUAAGUUUACCGUGUGAACGUCUGCAGUAAGCUAAAUGACUUUACGCCAGUACGUCAGGUCAAGGUGCAGCCCAUGAAGUGGCAAGCAAUGGGCUACAAUUUCUAACUUAGAACAAACGGAUAAGCUGUAAUGAAACAGCUUAGAAGGAGGAUUUAGUAGUAAAAAGGAAACAUGAAUGUCCUUUUUAAUCUGGCACUGGGACGUGU